rnacentral:rRNA from 1 species
GACGAACCGUGCAAACGUUGUUCGGAAUCACUGGGCUUAAAGGGCGCGUAGGCGGGUUCGCAAGUCAGGGGUGAAAUCGUUCGGCCCAACCGGACAAGGGCCCCUGAUACUGUGAAUCUCGAGGGAGGUAGGGGUCGAUGGAACUUCCGGUGGAGCGGUGAAAUGCGUAGAUAUCGGAAGGAACGCCGGUGGCGAAAGCGAUCGACUGGACCUCUUCUGACGCUGAGGCGCGAAAGCCAGGGGAGCAAACGGG